UCUGUCUGUGUGUAAAUAGGCACAUAUGCAAUUAAUUGUAAGUGAAACAUAAUUCAGGGCUUCUGACAAGUGAAAUUUAGUCCUGCAUGUCCAAAAAGAGUCCCAAAAUAGUGUGUGCCAAGUGUGUCCACCUGCAUGAAUAAAUGCAUAUAUCCAAACACAAAUUUAAUCUAGUGAAUAAUCCACCAAAUUAUGCCAUACAACUCCAAUUUUGUCCAUAAAAGUCUGAAAAUAGUGCGCGAUCAAUUAUUCCACAAUUUUAGAGGAACCAAUUUAAAGGCCUAACAUUCCGACAAAAAGUGUAGAACAAUAAAUCAAGACCAAAAAUCCCAUUUAAAUUUGAGAAAAUCCGGGGUAAGUCUCGUACUAAACUUCUGCCAAAUAACCCCAAAUGAUUUGCCCAGAGGAGUCUCAAAAUGGCGUGCACAUAGCAAUUUCACCACUAGCGCCACGUAUACAUGCACAAACUUGCAGCUGCAGACAAUUUUGGCGACGACCAUUAUGGCGCCCGGUCAGACUGACGCGCAAUAUACCCAGAACAUUCCUUUUGGUCGGCAUUGCCAGGCCUAAAUUCUAACCUAAAUAAUAAUAUACUACAAUGAAUACUUGAAUGUUAUAUAAAACUUAUUAUACGCCUAUAUCUAUCCUUAAAUAAUAAUCUUAUAACCUUCUUGCAAAUUACGAAAUCUUAGUAGCGCGGUUAAAUUUGUGCGCAAAACUUUUUUGAAUUCAUGAAUGUCCGUUCUAAAAUGUAAAUACAUACAUGCAUACGUGCCGCUGCAUAUGCUUGGAAUUUUGAUGGCCAUUAUACCGACGCCAACCCAAGCUGGCACAUAUGCACAUACAUAUAUGUUCAUAAGCCUGUCGGCAACUGCCAAGAAUAUAAAAACACAAUUGCAAAUAAUCGAAUUUAACCAAUUGACAAGCCUCUACAGACAAUAUGUAUCAACAUUCAAAUUGCUAGCGAAUUAUAUAUUGUACACAUAUGAACACACUGGUCUGCUGGGUGGUUGCCCACCCAAAUUUGUUAGUGUAAAAAUUGGUAGAAAUCGUUCAGCUGGCACUUAUACAUAUACAUAUCCAAAUUUUCCCAACAAUUGUGACUGACACUGCUAAACUGAGCAUAAUUUUCCUGACUCUUUACCAAUUUAAAAUACAAUACACAAUCCAUAUUUUUGCUUGAUAACAUUUUGCUAGGUGAUCGUCGAUAUAUCGAUACAGUGACAGGCGUACUGACCUCAAACGAUAGUUUUCUCUCUGCCGCCACUAGGCGAUAGUCUCGAAAUUGUCAUAAGCUGCGAGUUGUCUCUAUAAAAUGGUCGUGAGUUUAAAAUUGGCGGAAAUUGAAAAAGUCAUCGAGCAAGUUGAAACUUAUUAAAACACUAAUAGUGGAAGCAUUUACUGCUGAUAUAAACCUAAAAGCGUGUUAAAUAAUCAAAUUAAGGUAUUCUAUGCAAAUUCCUCAAAAUAGUGCGUGAAAAAUUAUUUCACAAUAAUGAAAAUCAAAUGGUGGCUGCCUGCAAAAAUAAAUUCAUAAAUACAUAUAUAGUGAUCACUCAACCAAACUACGCCAUAUAGUUAAGAAAUCUGGAUCAAAAAAUUCCUCAAAUUAGUGUGUGAAUAAUUAUUUUGCAAUUAACAAAAUAACCGGUGUCCGUCUGUGAAUUGACAAGCAACAAAUUGAAGGCCUAAUUACCACCAAAAGUGAAAGACAUAUAAUAAAGACCAAAGUCCCAUUCAAAUCUGAGAAUAACUGGGGUAAGGCUCAAACCAAAAAAUUUUUACAUAUAUAACCCCAAAUUUGCCCAGUUGAGUCUCGAAAUGGAGCGCGCAUAAUAAUUUCAUCACAAGCGUCACCUAUACAUGCACAAACUUGCAGCUGCAGACAAUUUUGGCGACGGCCACAGCGGCGCCCUGCCAGACUGACGCACACACACACACACAAAUUUUCUAAGAAAUUUUCUACCCAACAUUGCCAGGCCUAAAAACCACAUACGGACAGAACUAUAUUCUACGCUAGCAUCUAUUAUUUACACUUUCUUAUUUUUUGCUAACUUUAAACAUUUUUGCAAAUUUAAAACAUACAAUUAAACAUUACUGCCAAGCGAUCAUCGAUACAUCGAUACAUAUACGCGCGCACUGAUCUCAAUACUAUACCUUCCACUUUGCCGUCACUAAGUGAUAUUCUUGAAAUUGUCAUGAGCUGCGAGUUGUGUACUACGAUAUGGUUGCGAAUGUGAAACUGUUCAAACUUAUAAAUACCCUAAUAGUGAAAAGCAUUUAAUGCUUAUAAGGAACUAAAGUACGAAUUAAACAAAUUUAGUGAAUUUCAAUCAAGUGUAAGUCUUUGAAACUAACAGUGCCUAUAAAAGCCCCAAAUAGCCGGUGUCUGUCUGUGUGUAAAUAGGCACAUAUGCAAUUAAUUGUAAGUGAAACAUAAUUCAGGGCUUCUGACAAGUGAAAUUUAGUCCUGCAUGUCCAAAAAGAGUCCCAAAAUAGUGUGUGCCAAGUGUGUCCACCUGCAUGAAUAAAUGCAUAUAUCCAAACACAAAUUUAAUCUAGUGAAUAAUCCACCAAAUUAUGCCAUACAACUCCAAUUUUGUCCAUAAAAGUCUGAAAAUAGUGCGCGAUCAAUUAUUCCACAAUUUUAGAGGAACCAAUUUAAAGGCCUAACAUUCCGACAAAAAGUGUAGAACAAUAAAUCAAGACCAAAAAUCCCAUUUAAAUUUGAGAAAAUCCGGGGUAAGUCUCGUACUAAACUUCUGCCAAAUAACCCCAAAUGAUUUGCCCAGAGGAGUCUCAAAAUGGCGUGCACAUAGCAAUUUCACCACUAGCGCCACGUAUACAUGCACAAACUUGCAGCUGCAGACAAUUUUGGCGACGACCAUUAUGGCGCCCGGUCAGACUGACGCGCAAUAUACCCAGAACAUUCCUUUUGGUCGGCAUUGCCAGGCCUAAAUUCUAACCUAAAUAAUAAUAUACUACAAUGAAUACUUGAAUGUUAUAUAAAACUUAUUAUACGCCUAUAUCUAUCCUUAAAUAAUAAUCUUAUAACCUUCUUGCAAAUUACGAAAUCUUAGUAGCGCGGUUAAAUUUGUGCGCAAAACUUUUUUGAAUUCAUGAAUGUCCGUUCUAAAAUGUAAAUACAUACAUGCAUACGUGCCGCUGCAUAUGCUUGGAAUUUUGAUGGCCAUUAUACCGACGCCAACCCAAGCUGGCACAUAUGCACAUACAUAUAUGUUCAUAAGCCUGUCGGCAACUGCCAAGAAUAUAAAAACACAAUUGCAAAUAAUCGAAUUUAACCAAUUGACAAGCCUCUACAGACAAUAUGUAUCAACAUUCAAAUUGCUAGCGAAUUAUAUAUUGUACACAUAUGAACACACUGGUCUGCUGGGUGGUUGCCCACCCAAAUUUGUUAGUGUAAAAAUUGGUAGAAAUCGUUCAGCUGGCACUUAUACAUAUACAUAUCCAAAUUUUCCCAACAAUUGUGACUGACACUGCUAAACUGAGCAUAAUUUUCCUGACUCUUUACCAAUUUAAAAUACAAUACACAAUCCAUAUUUUUGCUUGAUAACAUUUUGCUAGGUGAUCGUCGAUAUAUCGAUACAGUGACAGGCGUACUGACCUCAAACGAUAGUUUUCUCUCUGCCGCCACUAGGCGAUAGUCUCGAAAUUGUCAUAAGCUGCGAGUUGUCUCUAUAAAAUGGUCGUGAGUUUAAAAUUGGCGGAAAUUGAAAAAGUCAUCGAGCAAGUUGAAACUUAUUAAAACACUAAUAGUGGAAGCAUUUACUGCUGAUAUAAACCUAAAAGCGUGUUAAAUAAUCAAAUUAAGGUAUUCUAUGCAAAUUCCUCAAAAUAGUGCGUGAAAAAUUAUUUCACAAUAAUGAAAAUCAAAUGGUGGCUGCCUGCAAAAAUAAAUUCAUAAAUACAUAUAUAGUGAUCACUCAACCAAACUACGCCAUAUAGUUAAGAAAUCUGGAUCAAAAAAUUCCUCAAAUUAGUGUGUGAAUAAUUAUUUUGCAAUUAACAAAAUAACCGGUGUCCGUCUGUGAAUUGACAAGCAACAAAUUGAAGGCCUAAUUACCACCAAAAGUGAAAGACAUAUAAUAAAGACCAAAGUCCCAUUCAAAUCUGAGAAUAACUGGGGUAAGGCUCAAACCAAAAAAUUUUUACAUAUAUAACCCCAAAUUUGCCCAGUUGAGUCUCGAAAUGGAGCGCGCAUAAUAAUUUCAUCACAAGCGUCACCUAUACAUGCACAAACUUGCAGCUGCAGACAAUUUUGGCGACGGCCACAGCGGCGCCCUGCCAGACUGACGCACACACACACACACAAAUUUUCUAAGAAAUUUUCUACCCAACAUUGCCAGGCCUAAAAACCACAUACGGACAGAACUAUAUUCUACGCUAGCAUUUAUUAUUUACACUUUCUUAUUUUUUGCUAACUUUAAACAUUUUUGCAAAUUUAAAACAUACAAUUAAACAUUACUGCCAAGCGAUCAUCGAUACAUCGAUACAUAUACGCGCGCACUGAUCUCAAUACUAUACCUUCCACUUUGCCGUCACUAAGUGAUAUUCUUGAAAUUGUCAUGAGCUGCGAGUUGUGUACUACGAUACGGUUGCGAAUGUGAAACUGUUCAAACUUAUAAAUACCCUAAUAGUGAAAAGCAUUUAAUGCUUAUAAGGAACUAAAGUACGAAUUAAACAAAUUUAGUGAAUUUCAAUCAAGUGUAAGUCUUUGAAACUAACAGUGCCCAUAAAAGCCCCAAAUAGCCGGUGUCUGUCUGUGUGUAAAUAGGCACAUAUGCAAUUAAUUGUAAGUGAAACAUAAUUCAGGGCUUCUGACAAGUGAAAUUUAGUCCUGCAUGUCCAAAAAGAGUCCCAAAAUAGUGUGUGCCAAGUGUGUCCACCUGCAUGAAUAAAUGCAUAUAUCCAAACACAAAUUUAAUCUAGUGAAUAAUCCACCAAAUUAUGCCAUACAACUCCAAUUUUGUCCAUAAAAGUCUGAAAAUAGUGCGCGAUCAAUUAUUCCACAAUUUUAGAGGAACCAAUUUAAAGGCCUAACAUUCCGACAAAAAGUGUAGAACAAUAAAUCAAGACCAAAAAUCCCAUUUAAAUUUGAGAAAAUCCGGGGUAAGUCUCGUACUAAACUUCUGCCAAAUAACCCCAAAUGAUUUGCCCAGAGGAGUCUCAAAAUGGCGUGCACAUAGCAAUUUCACCACUAGCGCCACGUAUACAUGCACAAACUUGCAGCUGCAGACAAUUUUGGCGACGACCAUUAUGGCGCCCGGUCAGACUGACGCGCAAUAUACCCAGAACAUUCCUUUUGGUCGGCAUUGCCAGGCCUAAAUUCUAACCUAAAUAAUAAUAUACUACAAUGAAUACUUGAAUGUUAUAUAAAACUUAUUAUACGCCUAUAUCUAUCCUUAAAUAAUAAUCUUAUAACCUUCUUGCAAAUUACGAAAUCUCAGUAGCGCGGUUAAAUUUGUGCGCAAAACUUUUUUGAAUUCAUGAAUGUCCGUUCUAAAAUGUAAAUACAUACAUGCAUACGUGCCGCUGCAUAUGCUUGGAAUUUUGAUGGCCAUUAUACCGACGCCAACCCAAGCUGGCACAUAUGCACAUACAUAUAUGUUCAUAAGCCUGUCGGCAACUGCCAAGAAUAUAAAAACACAAUUGCAAAUAAUCGAAUUUAACCAAUUGACAAGCCUCUACAGACAAUAUGUAUCAACAUUCAAAUUGCUAGCGAAUUAUAUAUUGUACACAUAUGAACACACUGGUCUGCUGGGUGGUUGCCCACCCAAAUUUGUUAGUGUAAAAAUUGGUAGAAAUCGUUCAGCUGGCACUUAUACAUAUACAUAUCCAAAUUUUCCCAACAAUUGUGACUGACACUGCUAAACUGAGCAUAAUUUUCCUGACUCUUUACCAAUUUAAAAUACAAUACACAAUCCAUAUUUUUGCUUGAUAACAUUUUGCUAGGUGAUCGUCGAUAUAUCGAUACAGUGACAGGCGUACUGACCUCAAACGAUAGUUUUCUCUCUGCCGCCACUAGGCGAUAGUCUCGAAAUUGUCAUAAGCUGCGAGUUGUCUCUAUAAAAUGGUCGUGAGUUUAAAAUUGGCGGAAAUUGAAAAAGUCAUCGAGCAAGUUGAAACUUAUUAAAACACUAAUAGUGGAAGCAUUUACUGCUGAUAUAAACCUAAAAGCGUGUUAAAUAAUCAAAUUAAGGUAUUCUAUGCAAAUUCCUCAAAAUAGUGCGUGAAAAAUUAUUUCACAAUAAUGAAAAUCAAAUGGUGGCUGCCUGCAAAAAUAAAUUCAUAAAUACAUAUAUAGUGAUCACUCAACCAAACUACGCCAUAUAGUUAAGAAAUCUGGAUCAAAAAAUUCCUCAAAUUAGUGUGUGAAUAAUUAUUUUGCAAUUAACAAAAUAACCGGUGUCCGUCUGUGAAUUGACAAGCAACAAAUUGAAGGCCUAAUUACCACCAAAAGUGAAAGACAUAUAAUAAAGACCAAAGUCCCAUUCAAAUCUGAGAAUAACUGGGGUAAGGCUCAAACCAAAAAAUUUUUACAUAUAUAACCCCAAAUUUGCCCAGUUGAGUCUCGAAAUGGAGCGCGCAUAAUAAUUUCAUCACAAGCGUCACCUAUACAUGCACAAACUUGCAGCUGCAGACAAUUUUGGCGACGGCCACAGCGGCGCCCUGCCAGACUGACGCACACACACACACACAAAUUUUCUAAGAAAUUUUCUACCCAACAUUGCCAGGCCUAAAAACCACAUACGGACAGAACUAUAUUCUACGCUAGCAUUUAUUAUUUACACUUUCUUAUUUUUUGCUAACUUUAAACAUUUUUGCAAAUUUAAAACAUACAAUUAAACAUUACUGCCAAGCGAUCAUCGAUACAUCGAUACAUAUACGCGCGCACUGAUCUCAAUACUAUACCUUCCACUUUGCCGUCACUAAGUGAUAUUCUUGAAAUUGUCAUGAGCUGCGAGUUGUGUACUACGAUACGGUUGCGAAUGUGAAACUGUUCAAACUUAUAAAUACCCUAAUAGUGAAAAGCAUUUAAUGCUUAUAAGGAACUAAAGUACGAAUUAAACAAAUUUAGUGAAUUUCAAUCAAGUGUAAGUCUUUGAAACUAACAGUGCCCAUAAAAGCCCCAAAUAGCCGGUGUCUGUCUGUGUGUAAAUAGGCACAUAUGCAAUUAAUUGUAAGUGAAACAUAAUUCAGGGCUUCUGACAAGUGAAAUUUAGUCCUGCAUGUCCAAAAAGAGUCCCAAAAUAGUGUGUGCCAAGUGUGUCCACCUGCAUGAAUAAAUGCAUAUAUCCAAACACAAAUUUAAUCUAGUGAAUAAUCCACCAAAUUAUGCCAUACAACUCCAAUUUUGUCCAUAAAAGUCUGAAAAUAGUGCGCGAUCAAUUAUUCCACAAUUUUAGAGGAACCAAUUUAAAGGCCUAACAUUCCGACAAAAAGUGUAGAACAAUAAAUCAAGACCAAAAAUCCCAUUUAAAUUUGAGAAAAUCCGGGGUAAGUCUCGUACUAAACUUCUGCCAAAUAACCCCAAAUGAUUUGCCCAGAGGAGUCUCAAAAUGGCGUGCACAUAGCAAUUUCACCACUAGCGCCACGUAUACAUGCACAAACUUGCAGCUGCAGACAAUUUUGGCGACGACCAUUAUGGCGCCCGGUCAGACUGACGCGCAAUAUACCCAGAACAUUCCUUUUGGUCGGCAUUGCCAGGCCUAAAUUCUAACCUAAAUAAUAAUAUACUACAAUGAAUACUUGAAUGUUAUAUAAAACUUAUUAUACGCCUAUAUCUAUCCUUAAAUAAUAAUCUUAUAACCUUCUUGCAAAUUACGAAAUCUCAGUAGCGCGGUUAAAUUUGUGCGCAAAACUUUUUUGAAUUCAUGAAUGUCCGUUCUAAAAUGUAAAUACAUACAUGCAUACGUGCCGCUGCAUAUGCUUGGAAUUUUGAUGGCCAUUAUACCGACGCCAACCCAAGCUGGCACAUAUGCACAUACAUAUAUGUUCAUAAGCCUGUCGGCAACUGCCAAGAAUAUAAAAACACAAUUGCAAAUAAUCGAAUUUAACCAAUUGACAAGCCUCUACAGACAAUAUGUAUCAACAUUCAAAUUGCUAGCGAAUUAUAUAUUGUACACAUAUGAACACACUGGUCUGCUGGGUGGUUGCCCACCCAAAUUUGUCAGUGUAAAAAUUGGUAGAAAUCGUUCAGCUGGCACUUAUACAUAUACAUAUCCAAAUUUUCCCAACAAUUGUGACUGACACUGCUAAACUGAGCAUAAUUUUCCUGACUCUUUACCAAUUUAAAAUACAAUACACAAUCCAUAUUUUUGCUUGAUAACAUUUUGCUAGGUGAUCGUCGAUAUAUCGAUACAGUGACAGGCGUACUGACCUCAAACGAUAGUUUUCUCUCUGCCGCCACUAGGCGAUAGUCUCGAAAUUGUCAUAAGCUGCGAGUUGUCUCUAUAAAAUGGUCGUGAGUUUAAAAUUGGCGGAAAUUGAAAAAGUCAUCGAGCAAGUUGAAACUUAUUAAAACACUAAUAGUGGAAGCAUUUACUGCUGAUAUAAACCUAAAAGCGUGUUAAAUAAUCAAAUUAAGGUAUUCUAUGCAAAUUCCUCAAAAUAGUGCGUGAAAAAUUAUUUCACAAUAAUGAAAAUCAAAUGGUGGCUGCCUGCAAAAAUAAAUUCAUAAAUACAUAUAUAGUGAUCACUCAACCAAACUACGCCAUAUAGUUAAGAAAUCUGGAUCAAAAAAUUCCUCAAAUUAGUGUGUGAAUAAUUAUUUUGCAAUUAACAAAAUAACCGGUGUCCGUCUGUGAAUUGACAAGCAACAAAUUGAAGGCCUAAUUACCACCAAAAGUGAAAGACAUAUAAUAAAGACCAAAGUCCCAUUCAAAUCUGAGAAUAACUGGGGUAAGGCUCAAACCAAAAAAUUUUUACAUAUAUAACCCCAAAUUUGCCCAGUUGAGUCUCGAAAUGGAGCGCGCAUAAUAAUUUCAUCACAAGCGUCACCUAUACAUGCACAAACUUGCAGCUGCAGACAAUUUUGGCGACGGCCACAGCGGCGCCCUGCCAGACUGACGCACACACACACACACAAAUUUUCUAAGAAAUUUUCUACCCAACAUUGCCAGGCCUAAAAACCACAUACGGACAGAACUAUAUUCUACGCUAGCAUUUAUUAUUUACACUUUCUUAUUUUUUGCUAACUUUAAACAUUUUUGCAAAUUUAAAACAUACAAUUAAACAUUACUGCCAAGCGAUCAUCGAUACAUCGAUACAUAUACGCGCGCACUGAUCUCAAUACUAUACCUUCCACUUUGCCGUCACUAAGUGAUAUUCUUGAAAUUGUCAUGAGCUGCGAGUUGUGUACUACGAUACGGUUGCGAAUGUGAAACUGUUCAAACUUAUAAAUACCCUAAUAGUGAAAAGCAUUUAAUGCUUAUAAGGAACUAAAGUACGAAUUAAACAAAUUUAGUGAAUUUCAAUCAAGUGUAAGUCUUUGAAACUAACAGUGCCCAUAAAAGCCCCAAAUAGCCGGUGUCUGUCUGUGUGUAAAUAGGCACAUAUGCAAUUAAUUGUAAGUGAAACAUAAUUCAGGGCUUCUGACAAGUGAAAUUUAGUCCUGCAUGUCCAAAAAGAGUCCCAAAAUAGUGUGUGCCAAGUGUGUCCACCUGCAUGAAUAAAUGCAUAUAUCCAAACACAAAUUUAAUCUAGUGAAUAAUCCACCAAAUUAUGCCAUACAACUCCAAUUUUGUCCAUAAAAGUCUGAAAAUAGUGCGCGAUCAAUUAUUCCACAAUUUUAGAGGAACCAAUUUAAAGGCCUAACAUUCCGACAAAAAGUGUAGAACAAUAAAUCAAGACCAAAAAUCCCAUUUAAAUUUGAGAAAAUCCGGGGUAAGUCUCGUACUAAACUUCUGCCAAAUAACCCCAAAUGAUUUGCCCAGAGGAGUCUCAAAAUGGCGUGCACAUAGCAAUUUCACCACUAGCGCCACGUAUACAUGCACAAACUUGCAGCUGCAGACAAUUUUGGCGACGACCAUUAUGGCGCCCGGUCAGACUGACGCGCAAUAUACCCAGAACAUUCCUUUUGGUCGGCAUUGCCAGGCCUAAAUUCUAACCUAAAUAAUAAUAUACUACAAUGAAUACUUGAAUGUUAUAUAAAACUUAUUAUACGCCUAUAUCUAUCCUUAAAUAAUAAUCUUAUAACCUUCUUGCAAAUUACGAAAUCUCAGUAGCGCGGUUAAAUUUGUGCGCAAAACUUUUUUGAAUUCAUGAAUGUCCGUUCUAAAAUGUAAAUACAUACAUGCAUACGUGCCGCUGCAUAUGCUUGGAAUUUUGAUGGCCAUUAUACCGACGCCAACCCAAGCUGGCACAUAUGCACAUACAUAUAUGUUCAUAAGCCUGUCGGCAACUGCCAAGAAUAUAAAAACACAAUUGCAAAUAAUCGAAUUUAACCAAUUGACAAGCCUCUACAGACAAUAUGUAUCAACAUUCAAAUUGCUAGCGAAUUAUAUAUUGUACACAUAUGAACACACUGGUCUGCUGGGUGGUUGCCCACCCAAAUUUGUUAGUGUAAAAAUUGGUAGAAAUCGUUCAGCUGGCACUUAUACAUAUACAUAUCCAAAUUUUCCCAACAAUUGUGACUGACACUGCUAAACUGAGCAUAAUUUUCCUGACUCUUUACCAAUUUAAAAUACAAUACACAAUCCAUAUUUUUGCUUGAUAACAUUUUGCUAGGUGAUCGUCGAUAUAUCGAUACAGUGACAGGCGUACUGACCUCAAACGAUAGUUUUCUCUCUGCCGCCACUAGGCGAUAGUCUCGAAAUUGUCAUAAGCUGCGAGUUGUCUCUAUAAAAUGGUCGUGAGUUUAAAAUUGGCGGAAAUUGAAAAAGUCAUCGAGCAAGUUGAAACUUAUUAAAACACUAAUAGUGGAAGCAUUUACUGCUGAUAUAAACCUAAAAGCGUGUUAAAUAAUCAAAUUAAGGUAUUCUAUGCAAAUUCCUCAAAAUAGUGCGUGAAAAAUUAUUUCACAAUAAUGAAAAUCAAAUGGUGGCUGCCUGCAAAAAUAAAUUCAUAAAUACAUAUAUAGUGAUCACUCAACCAAACUACGCCAUAUAGUUAAGAAAUCUGGAUCAAAAAAUUCCUCAAAUUAGUGUGUGAAUAAUUAUUUUGCAAUUAACAAAAUAACCGGUGUCCGUCUGUGAAUUGACAAGCAACAAAUUGAAGGCCUAAUUACCACCAAAAGUGAAAGACAUAUAAUAAAGACCAAAGUCCCAUUCAAAUCUGAGAAUAACUGGGGUAAGGCUCAAACCAAAAAAUUUUUACAUAUAUAACCCCAAAUUUGCCCAGUUGAGUCUCGAAAUGGAGCGCGCAUAAUAAUUUCAUCACAAGCGUCACCUAUACAUGCACAAACUUGCAGCUGCAGACAAUUUUGGCGACGGCCACAGCGGCGCCCUGCCAGACUGACGCACACACACACACACAAAUUUUCUAAGAAAUUUUCUACCCAACAUUGCCAGGCCUAAAAACCACAUACGGACAGAACUAUAUUCUACGCUAGCAUUUAUUAUUUACACUUUCUUAUUUUUUGCUAACUUUAAACAUUUUUGCAAAUUUAAAACAUACAAUUAAACAUUACUGCCAAGCGAUCAUCGAUACAUCGAUACAUAUACGCGCGCACUGAUCUCAAUACUAUACCUUCCACUUUGCCGUCACUAAGUGAUAUUCUUGAAAUUGUCAUGAGCUGCGAGUUGUGUACUACGAUACGGUUGCGAAUGUGAAACUGUUCAAACUUAUAAAUACCCUAAUAGUGAAAAGCAUUUAAUGCUUAUAAGGAACUAAAGUACGAAUUAAACAAAUUUAGUGAAUUUCAAUCAAGUGUAAGUCUUUGAAACUAACAGUGCCCAUAAAAGCCCCAAAUAGCCGGUGUCUGUCUGUGUGUAAAUAGGCACAUAUGCAAUUAAUUGUAAGUGAAACAUAAUUCAGGGCUUCUGACAAGUGAAAUUUAGUCCUGCAUGUCCAAAAAGAGUCCCAAAAUAGUGUGUGCCAAGUGUGUCCACCUGCAUGAAUAAAUGCAUAUAUCCAAACACAAAUUUAAUCUAGUGAAUAAUCCACCAAAUUAUGCCAUACAACUCCAAUUUUGUCCAUAAAAGUCUGAAAAUAGUGCGCGAUCAAUUAUUCCACAAUUUUAGAGGAACCAAUUUAAAGGCCUAACAUUCCGACAAAAAGUGUAGAACAAUAAAUCAAGACCAAAAAUCCCAUUUAAAUUUGAGAAAAUCCGGGGUAAGUCUCGUACUAAACUUCUGCCAAAUAACCCCAAAUGAUUUGCCCAGAGGAGUCUCAAAAUGGCGUGCACAUAGCAAUUUCACCACUAGCGCCACGUAUACAUGCACAAACUUGCAGCUGCAGACAAUUUUGGCGACGACCAUUAUGGCGCCCGGUCAGACUGACGCGCAAUAUACCCAGAACAUUCCUUUUGGUCGGCAUUGCCAGGCCUAAAUUCUAACCUAAAUAAUAAUAUACUACAAUGAAUACUUGAAUGUUAUAUAAAACUUAUUAUACGCCUAUAUCUAUCCUUAAAUAAUAAUCUUAUAACCUUCUUGCAAAUUACGAAAUCUCAGUAGCGCGGUUAAAUUUGUGCGCAAAACUUUUUUGAAUUCAUGAAUGUCCGUUCUAAAAUGUAAAUACAUACAUGCAUACGUGCCGCUGCAUAUGCUUGGAAUUUUGAUGGCCAUUAUACCGACGCCAACCCAAGCUGGCACAUAUGCACAUACAUAUAUGUUCAUAAGCCUGUCGGCAACUGCCAAGAAUAUAAAAACACAAUUGCAAAUAAUCGAAUUUAACCAAUUGACAAGCCUCUACAGACAAUAUGUAUCAACAUUCAAAUUGCUAGCGAAUUAUAUAUUGUACACAUAUGAACACACUGGUCUGCUGGGUGGUUGCCCACCCAAAUUUGUUAGUGUAAAAAUUGGUAGAAAUCGUUCAGCUGGCACUUAUACAUAUACAUAUCCAAAUUUUCCCAACAAUUGUGACUGACACUGCUAAACUGAGCAUAAUUUUCCUGACUCUUUACCAAUUUAAAAUACAAUACACAAUCCAUAUUUUUGCUUGAUAACAUUUUGCUAGGUGAUCGUCGAUAUAUCGAUACAGUGACAGGCGUACUGACCUCAAACGAUAGUUUUCUCUCUGCCGCCACUAGGCGAUAGUCUCGAAAUUGUCAUAAGCUGCGAGUUGUCUCUAUAAAAUGGUCGUGAGUUUAAAAUUGGCGGAAAUUGAAAAAGUCAUCGAGCAAGUUGAAACUUAUUAAAACACUAAUAGUGGAAGCAUUUACUGCUGAUAUAAACCUAAAAGCGUGUUAAAUAAUCAAAUUAAGGUAUUCUAUGCAAAUUCCUCAAAAUAGUGCGUGAAAAAUUAUUUCACAAUAAUGAAAAUCAAAUGGUGGCUGCCUGCAAAAAUAAAUUCAUAAAUACAUAUAUAGUGAUCACUCAACCAAACUACGCCAUAUAGUUAAGAAAUCUGGAUCAAAAAAUUCCUCAAAUUAGUGUGUGAAUAAUUAUUUUGCAAUUAACAAAAUAACCGGUGUCCGUCUGUGAAUUGACAAGCAACAAAUUGAAGGCCUAAUUACCACCAAAAGUGAAAGACAUAUAAUAAAGACCAAAGUCCCAUUCAAAUCUGAGAAUAACUGGGGUAAGGCUCAAACCAAAAAAUUUUUACAUAUAUAACCCCAAAUUUGCCCAGUUGAGUCUCGAAAUGGAGCGCGCAUAAUAAUUUCAUCACAAGCGUCACCUAUACAUGCACAAACUUGCAGCUGCAGACAAUUUUGGCGACGGCCACAGCGGCGCCCUGCCAGACUGACGCACACACACACACACAAAUUUUCUAAGAAAUUUUCUACCCAACAUUGCCAGGCCUAAAAACCACAUACGGACAGAACUAUAUUCUACGCUAGCAUUUAUUAUUUACACUUUCUUAUUUUUUGCUAACUUUAAACAUUUUUGCAAAUUUAAAACAUACAAUUAAACAUUACUGCCAAGCGAUCAUCGAUACAUCGAUACAUAUACGCGCGCACUGAUCUCAAUACUAUACCUUCCACUUUGCCGUCACUAAGUGAUAUUCUUGAAAUUGUCAUGAGCUGCGAGUUGUGUACUACGAUACGGUUGCGAAUGUGAAACUGUUCAAACUUAUAAAUACCCUAAUAGUGAAAAGCAUUUAAUGCUUAUAAGGAACUAAAGUACGAAUUAAACAAAUUUAGUGAAUUUCAAUCAAGUGUAAGUCUUUGAAACUAACAGUGCCCAUAAAAGCCCCAAAUAGCCGGUGUCUGUCUGUGUGUAAAUAGGCACAUAUGCAAUUAAUUGUAAGUGAAACAUAAUUCAGGGCUUCUGACAAGUGAAAUUUAGUCCUGCAUGUCCAAAAAGAGUCCCAAAAUAGUGUGUGCCAAGUGUGUCCACCUGCAUGAAUAAAUGCAUAUAUCCAAACACAAAUUUAAUCUAGUGAAUAAUCCACCAAAUUAUGCCAUACAACUCCAAUUUUGUCCAUAAAAGUCUGAAAAUAGUGCGCGAUCAAUUAUUCCACAAUUUUAGAGGAACCAAUUUAAAGGCCUAACAUUCCGACAAAAAGUGUAGAACAAUAAAUCAAGACCAAAAAUCCCAUUUAAAUUUGAGAAAAUCCGGGGUAAGUCUCGUACUAAACUUCUGCCAAAUAACCCCAAAUGAUUUGCCCAGAGGAGUCUCAAAAUGGCGUGCACAUAGCAAUUUCACCACUAGCGCCACGUAUACAUGCACAAACUUGCAGCUGCAGACAAUUUUGGCGACGACCAUUAUGGCGCCCGGUCAGACUGACGCGCAAUAUACCCAGAACAUUCCUUUUGGUCGGCAUUGCCAGGCCUAAAUUCUAACCUAAAUAAUAAUAUACUACAAUGAAUACUUGAAUGUUAUAUAAAACUUAUUAUACGCCUAUAUCUAUCCUUAAAUAAUAAUCUUAUAACCUUCUUGCAAAUUACGAAAUCUCAGUAGCGCGGUUAAAUUUGUGCGCAAAACUUUUUUGAAUUCAUGAAUGUCCGUUCUAAAAUGUAAAUACAUACAUGCAUACGUGCCGCUGCAUAUGCUUGGAAUUUUGAUGGCCAUUAUACCGACGCCAACCCAAGCUGGCACAUAUGCACAUACAUAUAUGUUCAUAAGCCUGUCGGCAACUGCCAAGAAUAUAAAAACACAAUUGCAAAUAAUCGAAUUUAACCAAUUGACAAGCCUCUACAGACAAUAUGUAUCAACAUUCAAAUUGCUAGCGAAUUAUAUAUUGUACACAUAUGAACACACUGGUCUGCUGGGUGGUUGCCCACCCAAAUUUGUUAGUGUAAAAAUUGGUAGAAAUCGUUCAGCUGGCACUUAUACAUAUACAUAUCCAAAUUUUCCCAACAAUUGUGACUGACACUGCUAAACUGAGCAUAAUUUUCCUGACUCUUUACCAAUUUAAAAUACAAUACACAAUCCAUAUUUUUGCUUGAUAACAUUUUGCUAGGUGAUCGUCGAUAUAUCGAUACAGUGACAGGCGUACUGACCUCAAACGAUAGUUUUCUCUCUGCCGCCACUAGGCGAUAGUCUCGAAAUUGUCAUAAGCUGCGAGUUGUCUCUAUAAAAUGGUCGUGAGUUUAAAAUUGGCGGAAAUUGAAAAAGUCAUCGAGCAAGUUGAAACUUAUUAAAACACUAAUAGUGGAAGCAUUUACUGCUGAUAUAAACCUAAAAGCGUGUUAAAUAAUCAAAUUAAGGUAUUCUAUGCAAAUUCCUCAAAAUAGUGCGUGAAAAAUUAUUUCACAAUAAUGAAAAUCAAAUGGUGGCUGCCUGCAAAAAUAAAUUCAUAAAUACAUAUAUAGUGAUCACUCAACCAAACUACGCCAUAUAGUUAAGAAAUCUGGAUCAAAAAAUUCCUCAAAUUAGUGUGUGAAUAAUUAUUUUGCAAUUAACAAAAUAACCGGUGUCCGUCUGUGAAUUGACAAGCAACAAAUUGAAGGCCUAAUUACCACCAAAAGUGAAAGACAUAUAAUAAAGACCAAAGUCCCAUUCAAAUCUGAGAAUAACUGGGGUAAGGCUCAAACCAAAAAAUUUUUACAUAUAUAACCCCAAAUUUGCCCAGUUGAGUCUCGAAAUGGAGCGCGCAUAAUAAUUUCAUCACAAGCGUCACCUAUACAUGCACAAACUUGCAGCUGCAGACAAUUUUGGCGACGGCCACAGCGGCGCCCUGCCAGACUGACGCACACACACACACACAAAUUUUCUAAGAAAUUUUCUACCCAACAUUGCCAGGCCUAAAAACCACAUACGGACAGAACUAUAUUCUACGCUAGCAUCUAUUAUUUACACUUUCUUAUUUUUUGCUAACUUUAAACAUUUUUGCAAAUUUAAAACAUACAAUUAAACAUUACUGCCAAGCGAUCAUCGAUACAUCGAUACAUAUACGCGCGCACUGAUCUCAAUACUAUACCUUCCACUUUGCCGUCACUAAGUGAUAUUCUUGAAAUUGUCAUGAGCUGCGAGUUGUGUACUACGAUAUGGUUGCGAAUGUGAAACUGUUCAAACUUAUAAAUACCCUAAUAGUGAAAAGCAUUUAAUGCUUAUAAGGAACUAAAGUACGAAUUAAACAAAUUUAGUGAAUUUCAAUCAAGUGUAAGUCUUUGAAACUAACAGUGCCUAUAAAAGCCCCAAAUAGCCGGUGUCUGUCUGUGUGUAAAUAGGCACAUAUGCAAUUAAUUGUAAGUGAAACAUAAUUCAGGGCUUCUGACAAGUGAAAUUUAGUCCUGCAUGUCCAAAAAGAGUCCCAAAAUAGUGUGUGCCAAGUGUGUCCACCUGCAUGAAUAAAUGCAUAUAUCCAAACACAAAUUUAAUCUAGUGAAUAAUCCACCAAAUUAUGCCAUACAACUCCAAUUUUGUCCAUAAAAGUCUGAAAAUAGUGCGCGAUCAAUUAUUCCACAAUUUUAGAGGAACCAAUUUAAAGGCCUAACAUUCCGACAAAAAGUGUAGAACAAUAAAUCAAGACCAAAAAUCCCAUUUAAAUUUGAGAAAAUCCGGGGUAAGUCUCGUACUAAACUUCUGCCAAAUAACCCCAAAUGAUUUGCCCAGAGGAGUCUCAAAAUGGCGUGCACAUAGCAAUUUCACCACUAGCGCCACGUAUACAUGCACAAACUUGCAGCUGCAGACAAUUUUGGCGACGACCAUUAUGGCGCCCGGUCAGACUGACGCGCAAUAUACCCAGAACAUUCCUUUUGGUCGGCAUUGCCAGGCCUAAAUUCUAACCUAAAUAAUAAUAUACUACAAUGAAUACUUGAAUGUUAUAUAAAACUUAUUAUACGCCUAUAUCUAUCCUUAAAUAAUAAUCUUAUAACCUUCUUGCAAAUUACGAAAUCUUAGUAGCGCGGUUAAAUUUGUGCGCAAAACUUUUUUGAAUUCAUGAAUGUCCGUUCUAAAAUGUAAAUACAUACAUGCAUACGUGCCGCUGCAUAUGCUUGGAAUUUUGAUGGCCAUUAUACCGACGCCAACCCAAGCUGGCACAUAUGCACAUACAUAUAUGUUCAUAAGCCUGUCGGCAACUGCCAAGAAUAUAAAAACACAAUUGCAAAUAAUCGAAUUUAACCAAUUGACAAGCCUCUACAGACAAUAUGUAUCAACAUUCAAAUUGCUAGCGAAUUAUAUAUUGUACACAUAUGAACACACUGGUCUGCUGGGUGGUUGCCCACCCAAAUUUGUUAGUGUAAAAAUUGGUAGAAAUCGUUCAGCUGGCACUUAUACAUAUACAUAUCCAAAUUUUCCCAACAAUUGUGACUGACACUGCUAAACUGAGCAUAAUUUUCCUGACUCUUUACCAAUUUAAAAUACAAUACACAAUCCAUAUUUUUGCUUGAUAACAUUUUGCUAGGUGAUCGUCGAUAUAUCGAUACAGUGACAGGCGUACUGACCUCAAACGAUAGUUUUCUCUCUGCCGCCACUAGGCGAUAGUCUCGAAAUUGUCAUAAGCUGCGAGUUGUCUCUAUAAAAUGGUCGUGAGUUUAAAAUUGGCGGAAAUUGAAAAAGUCAUCGAGCAAGUUGAAACUUAUUAAAACACUAAUAGUGGAAGCAUUUACUGCUGAUAUAAACCUAAAAGCGUGUUAAAUAAUCAAAUUAAGGUAUUCUAUGCAAAUUCCUCAAAAUAGUGCGUGAAAAAUUAUUUCACAAUAAUGAAAAUCAAAUGGUGGCUGCCUGCAAAAAUAAAUUCAUAAAUACAUAUAUAGUGAUCACUCAACCAAACUACGCCAUAUAGUUAAGAAAUCUGGAUCAAAAAAUUCCUCAAAUUAGUGUGUGAAUAAUUAUUUUGCAAUUAACAAAAUAACCGGUGUCCGUCUGUGAAUUGACAAGCAACAAAUUGAAGGCCUAAUUACCACCAAAAGUGAAAGACAUAUAAUAAAGACCAAAGUCCCAUUCAAAUCUGAGAAUAACUGGGGUAAGGCUCAAACCAAAAAAUUUUUACAUAUAUAACCCCAAAUUUGCCCAGUUGAGUCUCGAAAUGGAGCGCGCAUAAUAAUUUCAUCACAAGCGUCACCUAUACAUGCACAAACUUGCAGCUGCAGACAAUUUUGGCGACGGCCACAGCGGCGCCCUGCCAGACUGACGCACACACACACACACAAAUUUUCUAAGAAAUUUUCUACCCAACAUUGCCAGGCCUAAAAACCACAUACGGACAGAACUAUAUUCUACGCUAGCAUUUAUUAUUUACACUUUCUUAUUUUUUGCUAACUUUAAACAUUUUUGCAAAUUUAAAACAUACAAUUAAACAUUACUGCCAAGCGAUCAUCGAUACAUCGAUACAUAUACGCGCGCACUGAUCUCAAUACUAUACCUUCCACUUUGCCGUCACUAAGUGAUAUUCUUGAAAUUGUCAUGAGCUGCGAGUUGUGUACUACGAUACGGUUGCGAAUGUGAAACUGUUCAAACUUAUAAAUACCCUAAUAGUGAAAAGCAUUUAAUGCUUAUAAGGAACUAAAGUACGAAUUAAACAAAUUUAGUGAAUUUCAAUCAAGUGUAAGUCUUUGAAACUAACAGUGCCCAUAAAAGCCCCAAAUAGCCGGAGUCUGUCUGUGUGUAAAUAGGCACAUAUGCAAUUAAUUGUAAGUGAAACAUAAUUCAGGGCUUCUGACAAGUGAAAUUUAGUCCUGCAUGUCCAAAAAGAGUCCCAAAAUAGUGUGUGCCAAGUGUGUCCACCUGCAUGAAUAAAUGCAUAUAUCCAAACACAAAUUUAAUCUAGUGAAUAAUCCACCAAAUUAUGCCAUACAACUCCAAUUUUGUCCAUAAAAGUCUGAAAAUAGUGCGCGAUCAAUUAUUCCACAAUUUUAGAGGAACCAAUUUAAAGGCCUAACAUUCCGACAAAAAGUGUAGAACAAUAAAUCAAGACCAAAAAUCCCAUUUAAAUUUGAGAAAAUCCGGGGUAAGUCUCGUACUAAACUUCUGCCAAAUAACCCCAAAUGAUUUGCCCAGAGGAGUCUCAAAAUGGCGUGCACAUAGCAAUUUCACCACUAGCGCCACGUAUACAUGCACAAACUUGCAGCUGCAGACAAUUUUGGCGACGACCAUUAUGGCGCCCGGUCAGACUGACGCGCAAUAUACCCAGAACAUUCCUUUUGGUCGGCAUUGCCAGGCCUAAAUUCUAACCUAAAUAAUAAUAUACUACAAUGAAUACUUGAAUGUUAUAUAAAACUUAUUAUACGCCUAUAUCUAUCCUUAAAUAAUAAUCUUAUAACCUUCUUGCAAAUUACGAAAUCUCAGUAGCGCGGUUAAAUUUGUGCGCAAAACUUUUUUGAAUUCAUGAAUGUCCGUUCUAAAAUGUAAAUACAUACAUGCAUACGUGCCGCUGCAUAUGCUUGGAAUUUUGAUGGCCAUUAUACCGACGCCAACCCAAGCUGGCACAUAUGCACAUACAUAUAUGUUCAUAAGCCUGUCGGCAACUGCCAAGAAUAUAAAAACACAAUUGCAAAUAAUCGAAUUUAACCAAUUGACAAGCCUCUACAGACAAUAUGUAUCAACAUUCAAAUUGCUAGCGAAUUAUAUAUUGUACACAUAUGAACACACUGGUCUGCUGGGUGGUUGCCCACCCAAAUUUGUUAGUGUAAAAAUUGGUAGAAAUCGUUCAGCUGGCACUUAUACAUAUACAUAUCCAAAUUUUCCCAACAAUUGUGACUGACACUGCUAAACUGAGCAUAAUUUUCCUGACUCUUUACCAAUUUAAAAUACAAUACACAAUCCAUAUUUUUGCUUGAUAACAUUUUGCUAGGUGAUCGUCGAUAUAUCGAUACAGUGACAGGCGUACUGACCUCAAACGAUAGUUUUCUCUCUGCCGCCACUAGGCGAUAGUCUCGAAAUUGUCAUAAGCUGCGAGUUGUCUCUAUAAAAUGGUCGUGAGUUUAAAAUUGGCGGAAAUUGAAAAAGUCAUCGAGCAAGUUGAAACUUAUUAAAACACUAAUAGUGGAAGCAUUUACUGCUGAUAUAAACCUAAAAGCGUGUUAAAUAAUCAAAUUAAGAUCCAGCAAACGAAACUUGCAAUUUGUUCCACACAACAAUUUAACAUCUAAAAAAAACUCUUAAGAGGAUAAGCAAAGGAUAAACAGCUCAGCCAACAUGAGCGCAACUGGCAACCAAAACCAACCAAUACCCUACAUAAUUGUCCCAAAUGUUGAAAACGCGGAAAAACUUAUAAAAAUGGCAGAAAUAGAAGUGGGUAAAACUGGCUUUUACACCACUACCACCAAAAGUGACGGAAUAAGAUUCAAAUGUGACACCAUGGAAAAGCACAAGGCCCUAUUAGAAUUUUGCACCAAACUACACAGCAGUACGUUCGUCAAGAGCAGCCUGCAUGAGCCAAAAAGAUACAGGAUUAUCAUAAAAGGACUCCAUUCAUCCACAUCCCCAGAUUGGAUAAAGUACAAACUCGCAGCACAUGGACAUACAGUACUAUACUGCAAAAACUUAAUUGGCCAAAAGUCACAAACCCCAACAAAUACAUUUCGAGUUGACCUUGAAUACAAAGAAAACAAUAACGAAAUAAUGGACAUUAAUAAAAUCGGCACCUACAUAGUAAAUAUUGAAAAAUCUAUUGCACACACCAGCAUAAUAAAACAAUGCCACAAGUGCCAAAAAUUCAACCACCAAACCGAAGACUGCAAGAGCCGUGAAUUCGUCUGCUAUAAAUGUGCAGGCAAGCACCACUCGGCAGAAUGCUCAAAGCCCAGAGAAAAGGAAGGGAAAUGCGCAAAUUGUGGCGGAAACCACAUUGCCACAUACCAAGGAUGCCCAAUCUAUAAAGAAGCACUUGAAAACUACGAGACCCAACCCAGCACACCCAAAAAACAAAGCCACAACCAAAUGAACAAUGCUACUCCACUACUAUCACCACCAAGGCCCAAAAACGCACCCAGAAGACAAUAUGACCUACUGGAACAGCUAGAAUUACUGAAAAUAUUCGAAAAAAA